rnacentral:rRNA from 1 species
UUUAAUUAGCGUCGCAGCCUGAUGCACCAACGCCGCGUGCGGGAAGACGGCCCUAUGGUUGUAAACCGCUUUCAGGAGGGAAGAAAAUGACGGUACCUGCAGAAGAAGGUGCGGCCAACUACGUGCCAGCACCCGCGGUGACACGUAGGCACCAAUCGUUAUCCGGAUUUAUUGGGCGUAAAGAGCUCGUAUGCGGUUUAUUAAGUCGGGUGUGAAAAUCCACGGCUUAACCCCGAGAGGCCACCCGAUACUGCUGUGACUUGAGUGCGGUGGGGGAGCGGGGAAUUCCUGGUGUAGCGGUGAAAUGUGCAGAUAUCCGGAAGAACACCUCUGGCGAAGGCGCCAUUCUGGGCCCGAACUGACGUUAAGGAGCAAAAGCGUGGGUAGCAAACAAGAUUGCAUACCCUGGUACUCCACGUACCGUACGUUGGGUACUAGGUGUGGGUCUCUUACAACCCGAUGGGCGCCGUCUCUAACGCAUUAUGUGCCCCGCCGGGGGAGUACGGUCGCACGACAAAAACUCUUGGGAAUUGACGGAGGA